GGUGGUGACUAUAGCGGAAGGGAAUCACCCGUUCCCAUCCCGAACACGGAAGUUAAGCCUUCCAGCUCCGAUGAUACUGCAAGGGCAACCUUGUGGGAAAAUAGGUCGUCGCCUCUC
rnacentral:rRNA from 1 species